GGUCGUAACAGAAUUCCGGUGAGUAGCGUAUCCCUACGGAUGACAUUUUGGACACGCAAUAACGUGUUAGAACAUUAGUUGUUGUUUUCGUGACAAUAUUUUCUUUCUUGUUCAUGGAAGACAUAAGUCAAGUUUGUUCAGUAUGGGUUGGAUCAGAAACAGGGCUAUUGAAAAGUUCUAGGUGGGGUCUGUGAAUGGCACAGUGAAGAGGUUCAGCACAGAGGAGGGCAUCAUUACUGAGACCAGACAGUGUGGGGAGAGCAACCAGGGCAGGUUCACAGGACUCGCCGCCACAGACCGGUUGGAAUAAAUAUUGUGAAGAAUGUUUGUCGGAUGCAACAGAAUCCCUAGUGGCGCAACCAAGUGGCUACAGGAGGGAAAGAGAAUGACCUGGGAUCCGGAGAGACCUGAAACACCGGUCUUUGCCUCCAAGAAUGUGCGUAAUGACUGGCUGGACCUGCGGGUGCCAGAGUGGGUUAGAGACAUGGCCUUCAUCGCAGACUCAGACAAGAUGGACACCUGCACAGGUCAACACCAGGUCUGUCUUUCCCUGUACAAGCCCUGUUCUUAGACUGGGUCUGCUGGUCUUCUCAGCCAGCCUUGGAGUCUUUCCCUGUACUCAAACGAUACAUUCAUCAGGAGUUUGACGCAUUUUUGUUAGAUACGCAUCCAGGCCAGCGCAGUACAUUUUGGCACACUGGGUUUGGCUCAGCUCAGUACAUUUUGGGGGGAUGAAACUGUCCUGUAAAAGGUUCAUUCAUAUUAUACAACGGGUGGUUCAAUUUUUUUUAUUUUACCUUUAUUUUACUAGGCAAGUCAGUUAAGAACAAAUUCUUAUUUUCAAUGACGGCCUAGGAACAGUGGGUUAACUGCCUGUUCAG